AGAAAGCACUAAAUGGUGGAGACCAUUCAGCUUCUGCAAAUUCAGUAUCUUCUCUUAACCCUGUGAAAGAACAUGGUGUGUUGUUUGAAUGCUCACCAGAAAAGUGGACGGAUCAGAGAAAAGCACCACCAGUUAUGGCUUACUGGGUCGUAGGGAGACUGUUUCUUCAUCCCAAACUUCAAGAACUUUACGUCUGUUUUCAUGAUUCAGUCACAGAAAUUGCCAUAGAAAUGGCUUUUAAAUUAUUCUUUGGAUUAACCUUGUAGCUGUGUUUUCUUGAUGCAUAGCAACUAUGCAUGGAACAUUGAACAGUGUUAAAAUUGCUGAAAUCAUACACAAGAAGAUAAGAUUUAACUUCUCUCAACUGUUCAAUUUUGAACAUAAUAAUGUUAAAUAUUGAGAUGAUAUGCUCUUGGAUUUGAUGCACUAAAUCUUAUGUAGUAUUGUGAGACUUUUGAAAAGAUACUUGAUCAAAAUAAGAAGGGAUUUUUAACUUAUUUCCAUUUUGGUAUGUAAUGUUAAUUUAUUGACCAGUAUGAAAUAAUGUGAAGUUGUUUUAGAUAAAAUUAAUAGAGUAAAUAUUUAUCUUUAAAAAAUACACAAUUCAUAAGUGAAUUCACUUGUGUAUUUUUCUCAAAUAAUAUCUGGUGAAAGAAUCACAAAACUGGAAGAUGUGACCAGAUCCUGUAACUAAUAAGUGCUGUGACCAUGAACAAGUUUUUGUACCUCUCUGAGUCUAGAAUCUUCAUGUAUAAAUGAGAUGACUGCAUUGAAACUUCUAAAGUCCCUCCUAAGUAACAUGUGCAGUUUGUUUCUACUUGCCUUCUUGUCAGUAUCUAAAUUUAUAAUGUCCAAGUACUAAUUUCUUAUUAGAUCAAAUACUUCUUUUUACUUUAAGUGCUUUAAUAGAUAACUCACUGUGCAGGAAAAACUAAGGAAUGAAAAUUAAACUUCUUUCUCUAUUUAUUUGAUUUUCUUUACUCUUUCAGAUCAGCUCUGUUUUGUCCAGGAUGUACUUUUUAAACUAUUUGUCCAUUAACUUUUAUUAUUUUUCUUUUCAUUGAAAUAUAUUCAGGUAUGCACACACAUUUUAUAUAGUUCAUGAAUUUCAAGACAGCUACAUGUAAAUCUUUUAAUGAUGUUAAAAAAAACACUGAACAAGUUGGGUUAAAGUAAUCCUAUGGCGACUUCUUCUGUUAAAUACAAAUUUUUGCCUUACAAAUAUGGCUCAUUGUGUGUUGGGUUUUCCCAGAAGGAGGUACCUUAAUGAGCAAUAGUUUACUUGACCUUUAGUAGAGAAAGAAAACUAAUGAGAUUAGAAUUUUCUUUGGCUGUGACAAUUUGGUAGAUUAAGAAAGAAGGAAAAACAUAAUACUGCAUUUUUUAUUACCACUUACCUAAUGGAUCCUCCUGAAGUCUCAGAUGCCCCUAAGACUACAAUACUGGGUUUUUUUUCUUCUUUAGGACUUAAGCUUUGGAAGGGAAAUUAUGCCAACACAUCUAAAGUCAGUUUCUAUUUCCUCCCCCUCAGACGCCUGGAACAUGAGCCCUCCAGGUUAGAAUUAACUGUAAAACAUAGUGGGUGUACCAUUUGAAAUAUUUGGUCUUAAAAGAAACAGUUACCUCUCUGUAAUCAGUUUAAGAGAUUUUCACCCAGGUAUUUAAAAUGCAAACGACUGUAUUUGUCCUGUUAGUGACUUGUGAGCCUUAAAUUUAGCAUUGAAAUCAAGGCAAGAAAUUUUGGUUCUUGAAAUGUACAAAAUGGCUUGAAAUAUCUUCCCCUUAAAAUCACAAAUAUUGGUCAGAAUGGUAGAUAGACUCUUAACCACUGCAUUAGUUUAAGGCACUGUGUUUUUAAAUAUUUAUUAAAUGUCUUAAAUUUCUUAAUAUGUCCCCCAGACACCAUGAGCUAUUUUAAAUACUGAAAUUUAUUAAUAAAUGCAGCUAUUAAUCACCUCAGCUUUUAAACAGACUGAACUAAAAUUUUAGAUUUUAUCAGAAAGGACUUUUUUAAAAUUUCAUUUAAUGAUAUUUUGGUCUUUUGAACUGCUUUCGUGUUGUCAAAGAAUCUUGAGAGCACUACUCAAUAACGAAAAUAAAAGGACUAUUUACCUUAAUAAGAGGAAAAUCCUUUGUUACAUUGUAGAUGUAUAGUAUAGUGUAAUGUCCAUGUUGCAGAGACAUUGCAUUUUUAAGAAAUAAAAGCAAACAUCGUGGUUGUCAUCUCUAAAUGGAUAUUGAAGUAAGCAUUGCAACUAAAUCUAGCUGCCCAUUUUCCAAAAAUGUUGAGAUUCACAUCUGAAAGAUCAAUCUAUUGGCCAAUGAUGGCCUAUCUGCCAUUUUAUUGAAAAAAGAGGACAAAGUAAAAGUGUAGAUACCCUAGAGGUAUGCUUUAGCAGAUACAGAAACAUUCUUAAGUUGGAUUUUAUUAUUAGCAUCCUGCAAAUGUUCCCUUUUACGAGACUAUGAAUGCAAAUGAUUAUAGAACUAUCAAUUUUGGGAAAUAUCAAGUACUAUUUUAUCAACACCCAUAUCUUUUAGCCCCCCAAAAUUAUGUUUUAGAUUCAACACCUUCCUCCUUUCUCCCUCCUCCCCUUUCUUCUUUUGUUUCUUUUUGUCAGGUUAGGGUACUGUACUUAGCAAUGGAGAGUUUCUUAGUUGUGCCAAGGAACUGUUGAUGAUAUGUGUACUGGCAAGAUAGUAAAUUUGCAGUGCCUGCUUUUUUAUAUUUCUGACACAAAUGGGGAAAAUUAUGAAACCAGUUCAGUAGGUUUGUCUGCUUUGAGCAUUCUUGGAAAUAAUAUUGUGAAUAAUUAUUUGCUAUCUGUGUAAGUUCCCCCAAAUAGUGCCUGGCACCGUGCACAUGCUAUAAAAAUGUUAGCUACUACUACUACCACCACCAUUUAUUAUUACUAAAUAUCCAUUGGUUGAAAAUCUCGGAGUCAGCUAAAUCAUACCUGCUACUGUACAAAAAGUUGGGAAAAAAGCUGAGAAAAAAAUAUUCAGCACUGAACACUUUUGACAACAAGGAUGUAUACUUUGGAUAUUUUAGAAUACAUUAUUAAAUGUUACUGAAACUUUAUAUACUAAACUGUGUGAAAAUGAUUUAA